GAAAACUUGGGAAUCAACUUAAUGAAAGAGGUAAAAGAUCUAUAUAAUGAAAACUACAGAACCCAAAAGAAAGAAAUCAAAGAUGACCUUAGAAGAUGAAAAGAUCUACCUUGCUCUUGGAUAGGCAGAAUUAAUAUUAUCAAAAUGCCAAUACUACCAAAAGCACUAUACAAAUUUUAUGCAAUUCCCAUCAAAAUCCCAAUGGCAUUCCUCAUAGAAAUAGGUAAAGCAAUCAUGAAAUUCAUCUGGAAAAAUAAGAGACCAGAAUAGCUAAAGCAAUCCUUAGCAGGAAAAGUAAAGCAGGUGGCAUUACUAUUACAGAUCUUAAACUAUACUACAGAGCAAUAGUAACAAAAACAGCAUGGUAUUGGUGCCAAAACAGACCAAUGGUACAGAAUAGAGGACACAGAGACUAACCCACAAAAUUAUAAUGAUCUUAUAUUAGACAAAGGUGCCAAAAACAUUCAUUGGAGAAAAGGUAGCCUCUUCAACAAAUGGUACUGGGAAAACUGGAAAUCCAUACGCAACAAAAUGAAAUUAAACCCCUCUCGCCAUGUACAAAAAUCAACUCAAAAGUGGAUCAAGGACCCCGGAAUUAAAUCUAAAAGUGUCUAAUAGAAUAAAAAGUAGGUCCUAAUCUUCAUCAUGUGGGAUUAGGCCCCAACUUCCCUACUAAGAUUCCUAUAGCACAAGAAUUAAAACCAAGAAUCAAUA
rnacentral:lncRNA from 1 species